GUCCGCUUCGGCGGAUGAGUAGAGUGGCGCACGGGUGAGUAACGCGUAAAUAAUCUACCCUUUUAUCUGGGAUAACAUCGGGAAACCGGUGCUAAUACCGGAUACGUUCUUCGAUAUGCAGGUAUUGAAGAAGAAAGGUGGCCUCUGAUUCAAGCUACCGUAGAGGGAUGAGUUUGCGUACCAUUAGCUAGUUGGUGGGGUAACGGCCUACCAAGGCGACGAUGGUUAGCGGGUCUGAGAGGAUGAUCCGCCACACUGGAACUGGAACACGGACCAGACUCCUACGGGAGGCAGCAGUGAGGAAUAUUGCGCAAUGGGGGCAACCCUGACGCAGCGACGCCGCGUGGGUGAGGAAGGUUUUCGGAUCGUAAAGCCCUGUCAGGUGGGAAGAAGUGUAAUGUGGUUAAUACCCAUGUUAUUUGACGGUACCACCAAAGGAAGCACCGGCUAACUCCGUGCCAGCAGCCGCGGUAAUACGGAGGGUGCGAGCGUUGUUCGGAAUUACUGGGCGUAAAGGGCGCGCAGGCGGCUUGAUAAGUCAGACGUGAAAGCCCACGGCUCAACCGUGGAAGUGCAUCUGAAACUGUCUGGCUUGAGUAUGGGAGAGGAAAGUGGAAUUCCUGGUGUAGAGGUGAAAUUCGUAGAUAUCAGGAGGAACACCGGUGGCGAAGGCGACUUUCUGG
rnacentral:rRNA from 1 species